GAAUAGGCGGCUAAGACUAUCCCGAGUGCCAUCCGCUGAGGAAGGCUUUUACCCAGUCUAGAACGCUGGGAGAAUAAGGAGAGGGCAAGUCUGGUGUCAGCCGCCGCGGUAAUACCAGCUCUCCGAGUGGUGUGGAUGUUUAUUGGGCCUAAAGCAUCCGUAGCUGGCCAGGCAAGUCCCCUGUUUAAAUCCACCGAAUCAAUCGUUGGAUUGCGGGGGAUACUGCCCGGCUAGGGGACGAGAGAGGCCGACGGUAUUUCCGGGGUAGGGGUGAAAUCCUAUAAUCCCGGGAGGACCACCAGUGGCGAAGGCUGUCGGCUAGAACGCGCCCGACGGUGAGGGAUGAAAGCUGGGGGAGCGAACCGGAUUAGAUACCCGGGUAGUCCCAGCUGUAAACGAUGCAGGCUAGGUGUUUGGGCGGCCACGUGCCGCUCUAGUGCCGCAGGGAAGCUGUUAAGCCUGCCGCCUGGGGAGUACGGCCGCAAGGCUGAAACUUAAAGGAAUGGCG
rnacentral:rRNA from 1 species